rnacentral:lncRNA from 1 species
GACGAGGGUGAUCCCCAGAAGAAGGAGAAGAGGAACCAUGGCCAGCAUGUAGGGCUUUUUGAGGAUGAGCAUGAACAGGUAGUUUGUCAGCACCAGCAGGCCGACGGAGGAGAUGAAUAUACUUGUGCCAACACGAAGCUGGAAGCGUGUGAUCAUGCGGCGUUGAGUGUAGCUGAUGAUGAAAGAGAAGAACAUCAAGAUGAUGGAGGAAAUUAUGGUGAACAUGUUGAAGAGGAUACAGAUCUUGAGGAUGGCUGUAUUUGCAUGUGCUGCCAAAUCCUUAUCCCCGGGUAAGAUCUGUAGCAAUGAUCCCGAAGAAACGGCGAAGGUGCAAAAGGAGAACCAGAGGGUACGUUUGAAGUA